UGGCACACGUCGUGGUCUGAAUAAGUUUGAACUAGACCAAACGAGUCUGAGCAGACUGUGUGAUAGUGGUUUGUCGAUGUGUUCUGAACUGAAAACCUGCUAAGAAACUUUGAACAAACGUGGCCAAAGUUGGAUGAAAAUUACAAUUUUUCGACCAUUACGGAUUUUACCUGGUCUGAAGUUGGAGUGUAUUAUUUGACCAUUUUUUGGACAGGUGCGGGAGCUGCCGGCCAUUUGCCCUAGCAGGCGGAGAGAGGUCGUGGAGUGUCAGCCUAUGGUAUCUGAGGUCCAGGAGAGAUGACCUGCGCUGUUUUCCUCUGAGGAGGUAAGACUGUCCUAAUUUAUUUAUAAUUUAAUUAUUAUUCAAAUUGGGCAUGAUUUAUACUUAUAUUGAAGCAGUACGGUAUUUGCUGGGGCAAUCUCAUAAUUUUGACUUAGCAUGUAUUUUUUUUCUUUUUGUGCUAGAAAUAGGACUUCUAUAGCCUGAGAUUGUUAGGGAAAGAAUACUAAGGCAGGUCACAGAAUCUGAUUGGUCACAGAUUUUGGUGCAACUUAGAACAUAAUAUGUAUUUUCAUAUUGAUACUGGGUUUUGUGGGGGGUGUUUCUAUUCCUGUGCAAAAGACGUAUUCAUGAGAGAUUUUUGAAGUAGGUUUUGCAGUUGAUAACACAGUCAGGCAUAUAACAUGGUGCAGACUGUCCAAGACAGCUACCCAGGAAUUUUCUGUGCUGAAUAAAUGACAAUAUUUUGGUGAAUGUAUUGUUUAGAUAUCUGAAAAUUUCAUCGGAUCACAAGCAAAGACCUCCUGGGGACCUUCAAUGCAUCCCUUGACAAAGUUGUGCCUGGCCUGC